rnacentral:lncRNA from 1 species
GUAAUUGUCUCAAUCUCAGAACAACACUGACACCGAGAAGCCAACUGAGUGCCAACCCUCCUCUGAAAGUAUCCACUGGAAUCAAAUGCUGCCACAAUUUCCAGCAGAAGAAUGAGAGUUUGGUAAGUAUGGUAGGGUUCCAAAGGAGACGAAAUGAAUCCUGAGAUGGUUUGCUAGAACGAAUCAACUGCCAUGCUGACUUAAUGGUAAAUCUACCAUCUGAUGUAGCACUCCAAAAAAUACGAUCUAGGACGUCGAUAGAUAAUAGCAUAUCCGGAAUCCAUUCUGCCAAAACUGGUAACAGAGCUU